CAGAAAAAGGUUGACGUAGAAUUUCUGCCAAGAAAGACGUUUGGACCAACAGGACAAAUGUUUAACACGGACAUUUAUUGGAGACGGACGCAGUGUUGGAGCCACUGAUAAACUUUCCCAAAUAUGUCCUGGGAGCGUAUAAUGUUUGAAACCAUAUCGUGCUGACAAAUGGAUGCUUCUUUCUGAAGCAAAGCAACAUUGUGACAUGUUUGAGCCACAAAAUUACAGUAACAGAGAGCUGCGGCAUAUCCCAGAUGACUUGGAGUAUUUUCUGGACUGGUUCUACUGUGCUGCUGAUGACUGAUUCGGCGCAGGCAUUCUGAAGAGAACAACACAUUUGAGGCUAGUCAAUAUUAAAAUGUCUGAAAUAAGUUAGUUGUCACUGUUUAAAUAAAAAAAAUUUUUACACUUUAAAUCA